CCUGGCUGUCCUUGAAUUCACUCUGUAGACCAGGCUAGCCUCAAAUGCAGAGAUCCGCCUGCCCCUGCCUCCUGAAUGCUGGGAU
rnacentral:miRNA from 1 species